rnacentral:rRNA from 1 species
AGAAUCAACGCUGGCGGCGUGCCUAACACAUGCAAGUCGCACGAGAAAGGGGAUUCGUCCCUGAGUAAAGUGGCGCACGGGUGAGUAACACGUGAAUUAUCUACCUCCGAGUGGGGAAUAACUGAGAGAAAUCUUAGCUAAUACCGCAUAAUACCCACGGGUCAAAGCAGCAAUGCGCUUGGAGAGGAGUUCGCGGCCGAUUAGCUAGUUGGCGGGGUAAUGGCCCACCAAGGCGAUGAUCGGUA